rnacentral:rRNA from 1 species
GAUGAACGCUAGCGGCAGGCUUAAUACAUGCAAGUCAAGGGGGUAGCAAUACAACCGGCGCACGGGUGAGUAACGCGUACACAACAUACCAUAUACUGGGGUAUAGCUUCGGGAAACUGGAGAUAAUCCCCCAUAACAUUGCGAGAGGGCAUCUGAUUGCAAUUAAAGUUUCGACGGUAUAUGAUUGGUGUGCGUUUGAUUAGCUUGUUGGUAGGGUAACGGCCUACCAAGGCGACGAUCAAUAGCUGGCGUGAGAGCGCGACCAGCCACACUGGAACUGAGACACGGUCCAGACUCCUACGGGAGGCAGCAGUAGGGAAUAUUGGACAAUGGGCGAAAGCCUGAUCCAGCCAUGCCGCGUGAUAGAUGAAGGCCCUCUGGGUUGUAAAUAUCUUUUAUCUGGGAAGAAACUCCUCUAUUCUUAGAGGCCUGACGGUACCAGAGGAAUAAGCACCGGCUAACUCCGUGCCAGCAGCCGCGGUAAAGUA